UACGGAGGAUGCGAGCGUUAUCCGGAUUUAUUGGGUUUAAAGGGUGCGUAGGCGGUCCGUUAAGUCAGCGGUAAAAUGUCCGGGCUCAACCCGGGCCGGCCGUUGAAACUGGGGAUCUAGAGUGUGCGAGAGGUAUGCGGAAUGCGUGGUGUAGCGGUGAAAUGCAUAGAUAUCACGCAGAACCCCGAUUGCGAAGGCAGCAUACCGGUGCCCGACUGACGCUGAGGCACGAAAGUGCGGGUAUCGAACAGG
rnacentral:rRNA from 1 species